rnacentral:rRNA from 1 species
GACAAAGGUUGCAAACGUUGUUCGGAAUUACUGGGCAUAAAGCGCACGUAGGCGGUCCGUUAAGUCAUGUGUGAAAUCCCCCAGCUCAACCGGGGAAUUGCGCCUGAUACUGGCGGGCUAGAGAUCGAUAGGGGUGAGUGGAACUCCAGGUGGAGCGGUGAAAUGCGUAGAUAUCUGGAGGAACACCGGUGGCGAAAGCAGCUCACUGGAUCGAUACUGACGCUGAGGUGCGAAAGCUAGGAUAACAAACAGG